rnacentral:rRNA from 1 species
GCCCCUUAUGAGCUGGGCUACACACGUGCUACAAUGGACGGUACAACGAGUUGCAGAUCCCGAAGGCUAGCGAAUCUUUAUAAGCCGUUCUCAGUUCGGAUUGCUCUCUGCAACUCGAGAGCAUGAAGCCGGAAUCGCUAGUAAUCGCGGAUCAGGACGCCGCGGUGAAUACGUUCCCGGGUCUUGUACACACCGCCCGUCACACCACGAGAGUUCGUAACACCCGAAGCCGGUGGAGCAACCCCUUGGGGAGCUAGCCGUCGAAGGUGGGAUGGAUGAUUGGGGUGAAGUCGUAACAAGGUAGCCCG